UUUUCUAUUUUCUGUGUACACCUGUAACCUGUUGUUCUUUUAUCUCCUUAUAAACCCACCGCUCCCUGACUCGGUAAGCCAAUAACAUUACGAUUGGUGUCAUCCCUUCUUCCAAGAAUCACUACUGACAUCCUCGCUUUAGACUUCACUGCCUAAAGACCUCAGUAGUUUCUAGGGCUUUUGUUCCUUUUAUGCCUUCGGUUGUGUUUUGGGGAUAUUGCCUCUUCCUUUCUGAUUAUUCUCAUAAAUAGAAGGAGGUCACAGAAGCAGUUCACUCCAACAUUCCGAUGACGGAUAGAGUUGCCACAGGUGAAGAAGCAGCCCGAGAAAACGUUGACAGAGGCCAACGCCACCGCCAUCGUAUUUUUUUAACCUCGAUCACCACCACCAUUAGCCGCCUCAUCUGGACCUGCAAUUUGGGCUUGAUGAAGACCAUCGCUACCGCCGGACUCACUACAAGAGAAUACUUCAUUAGGCAUUGCAUAAUAAAUAUUGGACAUUAAUAGAUCCUGCUGGAAAGCCACCAUGAGUCAUGGGGUGGUGGUCCUCACGUGCUGUUGCUUUACCGACUAAACACAGGGACAUUGGCCAUUUCCAUGAGAUAAACUUAUGCAACGAUAUGCUUACAUCUUAACCCAUCCAAGGACCAUAAGUUCCAUCUGAAUAUUAUUUAUUAUUUUGUGACAAAAAAAUCUUUUCUGUUACAUUUAAUCAAUUUAUAUUUAUAUUGCAGCCUGUGGUUUUUUAUGACCAAUUUUAUGAUUUUCGGAUCCAUGAUGUGAUAAUGGAGCUAAUUCAGGCUAGGGAACGACUAACGUGUAAAGGAUCAACGACUUUAUUGCUUUUGGAUGCGAUUGCCUAUAAGGCGUUCGGUGAAAUGCCCGAACCAACUAAGGAUCACCAUUUGGAGUUUUGAGAUCCAAUAACACUUUGUUUUGCAGUUAUUAACAAAUGAAGGACAUAUUCAUUGUGGGCAUUAAAACUCCCAGCUAAUUUUACUUUCUGCCCCUCUCUUUCUAGAAAUUGGAGAAUCUUGCUGAGUUUACCUUAGAAGGAUUGGAUAUGUUCUAUGAAGAAAUCAUACGUGGAGUUUAUGUCGAUGGCCACUUUCAUUACUCCUCUUAGCCACAGAAGUUGUAUUUCAUUUAAGCACCAAAUGGUUAGCAUUAUUUUCUCUAAAUAUGCUUUUCGUAACAAUUUUUUAACUUUUGCUUCAUUUGCAUUAUGGUGGAGGAUUUUAUGAUUUGUUUUAUAAAAUUAAAGCUUUCAUAUCUUUUGCAUGAAUUUCUUUGCCCCAUGGUUAUUGUAGAUUAUCGAUCUGUUUUUAUAAUUUUAUGCUGUGUUUUUAUUUAUGAUUCACAAAUAUAUAUUAACAUUAUUGACUACGAGAGAUGCAUUAACAAUAUUGACUAUGUUCUACACAAGCAAACAAAAAAAUUUGAUUAUGGUCGGAAUAAAAAGAAGUGAAGAAUUUGCUUUCUGCCUUUGGUAAUAUAGAAAAUAAAAGCUAUUGGUUCUAAAAUUAGUUUCCUUUUAAUAGAAAUCAAAUGUUGGUUUUAUUAUUUUCAUUUUUUUUACAUAAUAAAUUUGUAAUUUACCAUUGUUAGUUUAAAUUAUUAAUCUAAUGAGAGAAUAAUAGAUUUUUGUGAUAUGUUUGUAUUUUAUUGUUAAAUUAAUUAUCAGUUUUACUGAUUUAUUUACAUUUGUUGUAUUUGUUACUUUUUUUUUUUUUUGUGUUUUUAAUCAUAUAUGUUAAUUACAAUAUACAUGCUAAUUAAUAUUUAUAAUACGUCGUCAAAAGUUUGAGGGGUAGUGUCAUAAAAAAUAAACAGGUUGGGUAUUGAACAACUAAAAAUAUAUUGAUUACAACAUUCUACCUAUAUUAUUAUUUUCUUUAGCUGAAAAAGAAGUUGUUAUUAUUUUUUAUAUAAUUUGAUAUAUUUAGGCAAAACAAAGCCUUAAGGUGGUGAUGUUGUUGCAGUUGAAGAAGACAUGACAAUUAGGUAAAACAAGGUGUAAAUUGGUGUCAACGUAAUAAAGUAUUUUGUUAAUGUUAAAGGAGCUCGAGAUUUAAAUGUAUGUGAUGGAUUCUUUCAGUGUGAUAGUUUUAAAUGACUUUGUAUAAUUAUUUUGAAGACUGGUACCCAGUUGUAUACUCCAAGUAUGCAGGGACUGAAGUUGAGUUUAAUGGGUCAAACCAUCUCAUACCGAAAGAAGAUGACAUCAUUGGUAUUGUUGAAAUAGAAGAUGUUACGGAUUCGAAAUCUCUUGAUGGCAGAGUCCCUAUCAAGGGCGAGGAAUCCGAGGAAACGACAGUUGUCGGCUUAUUGCUUACACAAGCAAGCAAACAAAAACCCUCUAUUGGCAUAUAGGACCUGGUCUUUUAGAUGAUGAAGGAAACACCGUUCUUUACUCAAAAUAUGCAGGGAAUGACCUUAAAGGAACCACACUCGAAUCCGAUUUUUCCACUUGCUUUAGCUAUACCAUCAAUCUGAUCAGAUUUUAUUUUAAGUUUUCAUUCCCUACAAAAUCUGGAAAGGAUUUUUGUCAUAGAGUUCACUGUGAUUGGAUUAAAAGCAGCCUCUGAUCCAUCUAUUACAUUUUUUACAUGAUUGAUGGUUUACUACACUACAUAUAUGUUCCUUGCACUUGAUAAAGAUAUGAACGGAGCACUUAGCAAGCAAGAGCUUCGAGAAUAUGCAGAUGGGACACUCACAUAUAUUUUUAUCGAGAGGUUACGAGCAUGGGAGCAGGUGCAACACAAGAAGAUGGUGAAAUAAUUGCAAACUCAUUUGGAGCAGUUGGUAAAAUAUGGAAAGCUGAUAAAGUCAUUGGCUUGAAGCAUCUCCUUUCCAAUAUAGGCAUUUUACUUUUUUUUUUUUUUUUUUACAUUUUGAAAUGAAAGUAUAAUGGCAUUUGUACAUUGUUAUUAUGAGUAAAGAAACGGUAAGUAUGUUGUGAUUAUUGCAUGUAAAGAGAUGUAUGUACAUUGCUAAUACGACUGAAAAGUUUUAAAGUUGAUUUUAUUACGAAA